AACAAGGCGUACCUGCGGACCUGCGGAGGGAUCAUUAUCGAGUUUUGACUGGGUUGUAGCUGGCCUUUCCGAGGCAUCGUGCACGCCCUGCUCAUCCACUCUACACCUGUGCACUUACUGUGGGUUAUGGAUCGUGUGGAACGAGCUCUUUGACGAGUUUGUGAAGCACGUCUGUGCCUGCGUUUUACCACAAACACUACAAAGUAUUAGAAUGUGUAUUGCGAUGUAACGCAUCUAUAU
rnacentral:misc_RNA from 1 species